GUGAUCUCUUCCUUUCUCUUUACGUCGCUGGUAAGCAUGGCAGCUCGGUGGACAUUCACAGUGAUUUGCUUUUUCUCACUUCUACUCACGAUUGAUUGCUCGAAAACCAUAAAGAGAGAUGGGAAGUGUAUGCAGUAUCAAUUGUAGGUCCUUUCCCAAUCGCUGUAACCAAUUUGCUGGAUUUAAUAAGGCUGGAUCUCCAUAACAACAAGUUGACAGGCCCAAUUCCUCCUCAAAUUGGACGACUAAAACUGCUCAGAAUAUUUUGAGGAAGCUUAUUAGUGAACGGCCUCCUAAUGGAUAUGAUUCUAUUGCCAUUGCUGCAGACUAGUACUUUCCGUAGAAAUUUGAGGUCGAAUCAGCUACAAGAUGUCAUUCCCAUUCCUCAUGAGAUUGGUGAGCUGAAGAGACUAACACAUCUAUGCUUCAGCUUUAAUAACUUUUAAGGGAGAAAUUCCGAAGGAGCUUGCUAAUCUACCAGAGCUUCACUACCUCUACCUUCAAGAAAAUCGUUUUAGUGGAUGAAUCCCAGCAGAACUAGGCAGUUUGCAAAAUCUGCAUCAUCUGGAUGUUGGAAAUAAUCAUUUGGUAGGUACUAUAAGAGAACUCAUUCGAUUUGAAGGAAGCUUUCCAGCUUUAUGCAACUUGUACCUAUCCCACAACAAGAUGUCUGAAGUGAUACCAUCUGCACUUGCCCAUCUUCCUAAAUUAACUAGAUUGUACUUGGAUCAUAACCAAUUUACAGGAAGAAUCCCAGAUGCAUUCUACAAGCAUUCUUACUUGAAAGAAUUGUACAUUGAAGGCAAUGCGUUCAGACUGGGUGUGAGUCCUAUAGGCAUCCACAAGGUUCUUGAAGUUUCUGAUGGAGACUUUUUGGUUUAAUUAAAACACCAUGCAUCCAUCUACUUGAAAUGUGGACAUUCCAUUUGAAUCGCUGAUGGUAAUUGGAACAAAGCUUCUAUUUCUACAUCUUUAUAGGAGGCUAUAACUUAGCUUGUAGAUAUAUGUGUAGGGUACUACCGUGUUUAUAUAAUCUUGGCUUGCUGCUAGAAUGCAGUGGUGUAUUUCAUAAAUUAAAUUUUAUUUGUCAGUUAGAAUGAAGGCUGUAGGAGUUCACUAAAUUUAAAAAAUAUACAGAAAUUUUUGCAAGUAUUUACAGGCAGCAUAUAGCUUAUUACAAUUGACUCUCUCAACAGUAACGAUUCUUCAUAAUAG